rnacentral:rRNA from 1 species
CGUGUAGGCGGGUGGGCGCGUCGGUCGCUGAAAGCCCCCGGCUCAACCGGGGGAGGGGCGCCGAGACGGCCCGCCUCGAGGGGCGUAGGGGGAUCUGGAACUUCCGGUGGAGCGGUGAAAUGCGUUGAGAUCGGAAGGAACGCCCGUGGCGAAAGCGAGGUCCUGGACGCCUGCUGACGCUGAGACGCGAAAGCCAGGGGAGCGAACG